AGUCAAGAUAUUAGUCAAUGCUCGCAGAGUGAACUAGCUGAACUAGCUAACUGAAAUCACAUGUGUGUCAUAUGUGAUAAAGUAAGAGAGAAAAAUGAUGUUAUCUUACUAUUAGUGUCGUCCAAAACUGGUGCCAGAAGACUCGGUAAGGCCAGAGACGCAAACGUUAAUCGUCUUAAUCAGGCGUAAAGGGUUUGUAGGCUGCUUUGAAAAUCUUCUUUUUAACAUAGCCAAAGUAAAGAGAAGACCAAUUAAAGCUUGAAUCAAAUAGAGGUCAUAUGAAUAAUACUUAGAGGAGGGCUAAUAUCCAUAGAUCCUAAGGGGAAUACUCAAAGCGAAGGCUUUUUUCCACUAAUGAUUGACGCUGAGAAACGAAGGUGAGGAUAGGAAAUAGGAUUAGAUACCCAGAUACCCCUCUCUGUCAACGAUGAAUGGUAGUUAUUAGUUUUAUUACUGGUGACGAUGUUAACACGAUAACCAUUCCGCCUUGUGAGUACGACUGCAAAGUUGAAAACAAAAAAAUUAGG
rnacentral:rRNA from 1 species